rnacentral:lncRNA from 1 species
GGCUUGGAACAAAGGGCACAUCUCCUAGUUCCUUUCCUUGCCUUACAUGUUAGUGCUGACAGUAACAAGCCCAUCACUGUGGAUAACCCUCCUAGAUUCAUUUUAUGUAUUUCAAAGCCCUGUUUUAAUAGGCAGAGAAGUUUGUGAGGGGUGAGAUUGUCUUGUGGCCCUGAGAACAGAAAGGUGCUGACAGGAACUGCUGCAAAGAGGGUCCUAUGCUCACAGGCCCUGGGUCAGAGAAGGAAGAGUCCAUUAGCAGUGACAGAUGUUUAGCUUUUGAUGUCCACCAAAUGUGUCUAACAGUAGGCUUGAUGUGGAGGUGGAGUACCUACAACACACAGACACUGCUGGCUGCAGAGUGCCCAGCAGACCAGAGAAGACACAGCCUUCACCACAUCCUUAAAGUUGGCCUAU